rnacentral:rRNA from 1 species
AGAGUUUGAUCCUGGCUCAGGACGAACGCUGGCGGCGUGCUUAACACAUGCAAGUCGAACGGUAAGGCGCUUUCGGGCGUACACGAGUGGCGAACGGGUGAGUAACACGUGAGGAACGUGCCCUUGACUUUGGUAUAGCACUUGGAAACAGGUGGUAAUCCCGAAUAUUCAGUUUCCCGGGCAUCCGGGUUGUUGGAAAGCUUUUUGCGGUCAGGGAUCGUCUCGCGGCCUAUCAGCUUGUUGGUGGGGUAGUGGCCCACCAAGGCCUUGACGGGUAGCCGGCCUGAGAGGGCGACCGGCCACAUUGGGACUGAGAUACGGCCCAGACUCCUGCGGGAGGCAGCAGUGGGGAAUAUUGCACAAUGGGCGGAAGCCUGAUGCAGCAACGCCGCGUGCGGGAUGACGGCCUUCGGGUUGUAAACCGCUUUCACCCAUGACGAAGCGCGAGUGACGGUAGUGGGGGAAGAAGCACCGGCCAACUACGUGCCAGCAGCCGCGGUGAUACGUAGGGUGCGAGCGUUGUCCGGAAUUAUUGGGCGUAAAGAGCUUGUAGGCGGUUGAUCGCGUCGAUAGUGAAAUCCCGGGGCUCAACCUCGGGCUUGCUGUCGAUACGGGUUGACUUGAGGAAGGUAGGGGAGAAUGGAACUCCCGGUGGAGCGGUGGAAUGCGCAGAUAUCGGGAAGAACACCGGUGGCGAAGGCGGUUCUCUGGACCUUUCCUGACGCUGAGAAGCGAAAGCGUGGGGAGCAAACAGGCUUAGAUACCCUGGUAGUCCACGCUGUAAACGGUGGGUACUAGGUGUGGGUCGCAUUCCACGUGAUCCGUGCCGUAGCCAACGCAUUAAGUACCCCGCCUGGGGAGUACGGCCGCAAGGCUAAAACUCAAAGGAAUUGACGGGGCCCCGCACAAGCGGCGGAGCAUGCGGAUUAAUUCGAUGCAACGCGAAGAACCUUACC